UACGGGGGGGGGGCAAGCGUUGUUCGGAAUUACUGGGCGUAAAGGGCUCGUAGGCGGUGUGUCACGUCGGCCGUGAAAACCUGCAGCUUAACUGUGGGCGUGCGGUCGAUACGGGCAUCACUGGAGUUCGGCAGGGGAGACUGGAAUUCCUGGUGUAGCGGUGAAAUGCGCAGAUAUCAGGAGGAACACCGGUGGCGAAGGCGGGUCUCUGGGCCGAUACUGACGCUGAGGAGCGAAAGCGUGGGGAGCAAACAGG
rnacentral:rRNA from 1 species